UCAAAUAUCUGAUAUAACCCUUUUUCGAUCAACAUCUGAUAUUACUCAAUGUAUCUCAGGAUGGAAAUAUAUCUGAUAUUACUCACAUAGGUGAUGGUAGAUACUAACAACAGUAAACACUCUGUAAAAUAUCUAAAAAAUGGCCCUAUCUAAGCAAGGUUCGGUGUGGUAGAAAUCAAAAUCAGGCCAUAGUAUUAGUCCCAGAUAACUGAUGUACACCGUUUUUCACACUGCAUAAUAGUAAACUACAUGGUUGAGUAUUAGAUAUAUAACUUUGUCCACACACCUUCAUCCAAUUUGCUUGAUAUAUAACUUUGUCCAUAUAUAACUUUGUCCACACUCCAUUUGAUUUGGUUGCAUGUUGCAACGCAUGUUGCCUUACCGGCGUCGACGCCGAUGCCCGACUGCUCUUGGAGGCGUCAACAGUGGUUUCAAGGCUGAGGGUGAGGAAGAAGGGCUGGUCGCCGGCUCCAUUUUGCAUCUGCAGAACCCAAGAACUAAAGAUCAACCAAAUGAUGUGCAGUGAAGGCUAUACGUGGUUGAAUGAGUUUGCAUCAGGAAACAUGUCAGCUCAAAUGAGAACUUCCACAAGAAAAAUGCUCUCGGUGAUAGCGUUUGUUUAUCACUGCAGAUAAAACUGGUUAUAUAGUGCAGUCCUCUGUUUAUGUACAUGCCAUGCCAGACUACUAUGCAUGAAAUUUAUACUGAGACAUGGCUGCUAAUCUUUCUAGUUUAUAUAUUCAAUUGACUUUCUAAAAUAAUUACACCAAUUCACAUACACGCAUGGUCAUUGAAUUUGACAAUCACUUAAGUUUACAGUAUAUGGCUCUUGCGAGUGCCCUAUUUGUUGAUUGUUAUUUUUUCUUAAUUAGUUCACCACAAGACGAUACAUUUGUUCAGUUGUUCUAACUAUAAAAAGAUUAUCUCGUGAAUAGGUGAAGAAAACAAAUACUUAUUGAACAACAUGAUAUGACAAUAAAGGGCAACCUGGUGCAUGUAGCUCCCGCUUGCGCAGGGUCCAGGGAAGGGUCCGACCACUUUGGGUCUAUAGUACGCAGCCUUUCCCUACAUUUCUGUAAGAGGCUGUUUCCAGGACUUGAACCCAUGACCUCAUGGUCACAAGGCAGCAGCUUUACCACUGCGCCAAGGCUCCCCUUCAACAACAUGAUAUGACAAUGAUGCAAAGAAAAUCAUUAUUCAUAUGAAUCGUUUAAAUAACUCGAUCAAUAUAAUCACACAUGAUUAAUAGGAAAGAACCGCAUCAAUGUUGGCCAGGGACAGGGUAAUGUCCUGUCAGAGAUGCUUUUAGCUGGUUGACACCCUGCAUAAGAUGAUGCUUCUCGCUGCAACGAAACAAAGGAAAUCUCAACACAAAGGAACAUACUGCUCCUCUUCGAAAAGUAGUAAGAAAAGGAGAAGCAGGAUAUACUCACCCCUGAUACAAGGACUCCUCUUCUGUGUGGGGUAGGGUUCUAUACCCGAAAGUUGAUGGUGGUUGUCAUAGCCAAAAUACAAGCACAAUCGACAGUAAUCACCUCCCGGGGAGCAGGAAUUUUCUGCAUUACUAACAAAGGUAAAGAGCAAAAGCUCCCAAAGUUAUGACCCUGUCGAAUUUACCAAAGUUGCAAUAUUUUGCUAGUGCCAAAACAAAAUUAGCAUCAGACAACAGGUUUCAUGCUUGCGUGAAAUAAAAUCAUGAUUUGGUGCUCCCAGAAAUCUAGCUGGUAACAGUUUAACACAAAAUACUGCAAUUAUACUGAAUCAGAUGUUGUACUAACACAAAAAAAGGCAAGGAUAAGCUAAACCACCAAGCAAAGCCAAGUUCAUUAAGAACAUGCGCUGAUAGACACCCAAAACAUAUCAUUUAAGAAUCAAACAGGAAGCAAAAUGUAACUCUUUUAAACAUGCAAGAUCUACUUACACUGCCAUGAAAUGACUACAAAUUGUACACAUAUUUGUUUGUAUUGCAACAGGGUGCAGUGCCAGGGUGCCAGGCCGAAAUCCAAAACAAUAUGGUAGUGCAAUAGGGACGGACAGAAAACCACAGUUGCACCCAUACGUGGGUUGUAGCUCGUGUAGUGUGCGUAGUUUGCAUCAGGCACCUAUUGGACAAACAUUUUCCAUUUUUCAGACUUCACAAGAGUUUGGUGCACCGCUAAUUCAUAAAAUGGAAGAAACCAAGUCAGCAGUUUAGCUCAUGACAUAACAGAACUACCAGCAAGUUACAGACACUUAACUACUGACAACACCGUAGAGAUAUAUGAUUCCACCAUUAUAUUAAAAAAUAAACUUGAAGUCCCUACAUGUUAUUAGGUUGAGCUAAUCCUUGAACAGGAACGCCAUCAUAUUAAUCAAUAAAGCUAAAUAAAGGCAAAAAAACCAAAUUAGCGGAUCUUCUACGCAUAUCCACUGCUAUAUAUUCAAAUAACACUAAUCGGAAAGCAAUGAUGUAGCUUUACAGGACCAACCAGUAGCUAAGAAAUCAGGGGCUAAAAGAUUAUCUUGUCUAAGAGCUAGUACAUACUACAGAAUGAAUACUGCAGUAAGAAUUGAUAGAACACUUGAACAUUAGACUUGGUAAGCCACAACCCAUGCCGAAAAGAUAAAUAUUAAAUUAGAAACUGUACAUGGAAAGGCAUAAAUAAAGGAAUGAAAAAAGAAAAGCACCUGUAAUAGGACUGUAGACAAAAAUCAUAACUAUCGAGACAACCACAACAACGACAGAUCCCAGCAGUCCGACAGUCAAGAGCAUGAGCAGACGACAACCAUCAACAAAAAAAUGUUGGAUCCAACAGCAAACCCUAACCCAUCCCUACACAGAGCAAAAGCAAUAGAACAAUAAAAUGCCUAGAUGUGCAGCAGGACAUCCAACAGAUGCAUAUAGUAACAACUCACAACAAACAUUCUAUUAGUUGUCAGGCUCAAAGGUUCUAAACAUGUCUUAUAUAUUCUAAACCUUUACCUGCUAUGAUCCACCAUAUGGUGCUGCAAAUACUAAAAAAACAUAUUAAUAAAUGAUUUGUACAUCACGAUUACUACGUAACUACUAAAUUCUUAAAUUUGUCUCCAUUUCUAAUUAGAAUACGAUACUACUCUGAUAUACCUCCUGGUUGUGAUGAUACUGAAAACUAAACUAAAGCAGAAGAAGCCAAAUAAUAAAACCAUGGUGAUUACCAUAGGGAGAAGGCACUUCGACCCUGUAAUCUUAAAUAUUGGGAUGAAGAGGCUAAACUAAAGUAUUGCUGCGUAAUUAGUUGCCACCAAGAAGAGGCUAAAUCACACAGCCCUAACGAAACCAUGUUCCGGCCGCAAUCAGAUCAAGCAAUCUCUAACAAAGAAUGUACGCAAGCAGCACCAUGACGGGAAAAAGUGUAAUUAAUCUCUCUAGGGUUGCUAUAGCUGCUACUCUGCCUCUGUUUUCAGCAAAUGGAGCUAAGAAUGGAAAAUGGAAAACAGGAGGCAAAGUUUGUCGACAAGUAAGAGAUUGACUAAUAUCCUUCUUAACCUUCAUUGGCAUCUUUUUCAUCCUUGGAACCAGUACUUGAUCAGUACUUUCAUCUUUGACAUAAUCUGGGCCAUCUAUUUCAAACACGAAACCAUAAGUAGAACCGUCAAUCAUCCCCAACUUGCAGCUCAACUUAAUCCCAUCACUUAGAUUAGCAGCAUGUAGUGAGGCGCCAAGAACAAUUGCUUCAUCAACAUCAAGGUGCUUAUCUAGCUCACUCCAUCCCAGGAAUUCCUGCAGCUUAGCCUGGAACAGAGGAAUACAAAUGUGCCUCGUGAGUCAAAAAGUGACAAAUAAUAAAAACAAUGAGAUUCAAGAUAAUAAUAAAUGGUACAGAUAGAUAAGACAUGUAACUCUAUUCCAUAAGUAAAUGAAGUCCUCCGUAUGACUAACAGCAGUUUAUAAACUCCGUGCCAAAUACUGAAUUCCGUUCACGAUGAAACCUUCUUACGUGAGAAAAGGUGUAACAAGAAGCAGGCAGUCGCAUGCACCCAAGUUCUAAAAUCAGUUUAGUUUAUAUGAGCAUACACAGAAAGUUUCAGAAAUUCAACAAUGCAACAGUCCUGCAUUCCAUUACAGCCCCUCAAUGGCAAGUCAAGUAUAAGUCUUGAAUGAGGGAGUAAUAAUCACCUGCAGUUUCGGUACCCUGGUAGCUCCACCAAUUAGCUCUACAGCAUAUACGUCACCAAUUUUCAUGCCUGAUUGCGUAAGCACAUCUUUGAUUGGAGACAGAGCCUGCUCCCAUAAAUCUGCACAAAGCUCUUCAAAUUGUUCACGUGUUAUGGUGCUCCUGUAACAAACAGUAGGUAAAACCUUACUGUUGCAGUAUACAAAUGCAUAACACUACUGUUGCAGUCGGUCAGCAUGUAAAACCUUGAUUUUUUUCCUAACCAUGAUUUAGGAUUAAAGGUGCACUCUAUGCUGAAAAAAACUGAGGGAAAGCUGAAAGCAUGAGCUGGGGUAAAAGAUCAAUAAUCACAGAACAAAGCAGUAAGGAAUAAGGACAUCAAUGGCCAAUGGGCUACAGAAAAUACCAACAAUGACAAGUUAAAAAGCCGGUAUAAUCUUGCAAGUUCCACAUAAUCAUGAAUAUGCAAUGAAAAUGGAUGCAGAACUUCAAUGUAGUAGAAACUAUCCACAAGAGAUAUGCAAAAGCAGUACCAAAACAAAUUUCAUUCAAUUGAUACUGCAUCUACGCACAUUAAAGGAGACAAAGAAAUCAACUUGAUCUAUCAAAGGUCAGACCAUUUGGCAAAUAUGAAAUAAUAGGGCCUGUCAUCCAUGCUACUCCAGAUUAUGUUUGGUUACAAGCAAGAGGUUCAUGUGUUCAGAAUCGAUCCAGGACAUAAGAUGGAUCUUUUAAGUUCCAUAUAAACGGUCAUCCGAAGAUUAUGCAUGUACCAAAGGACACACCUGAAAUCGAUAUCAUUAUAUAGAGAUUCAACUGAGAUUGGAGGAGGGGUAUAUGCGCUCAGAAUUUCUUUGGUGCGCUUGACUUGCUUCUUCAACUUAGCCAUUGCUUUAGGAGACUGACGGAUGUCUGCUUAUUAAAUUGAUCUACGGAAUAAUUUACCAAACACAUUUCCAUUUCAAGGCCUCCCAGUUUGGAGUUCCAUCUGACAUCCUUAACCUGCAGAGGAAUUAGCUAAAAGCAUUAGCACUAGAUGCCUAUUCGAGAUAGCGGCUAAAAUUUCAUGUUUUUUUCAGUACAGUCAUCUAGCAUGUGAAAGCAGUAGUAACAACUUUUUCUUCAGAGAUCUUACAAACAGACAUAUGAGUUGAAGCAGAACUGGACAGCUAAAGGAGCUGGACAGGUGGGAAUUUUACCUGGAACUGGUUGACAGACACCAUCUUCCCGAACUCCUUGGCGCUGUAGGACGAACUGCUGCGCGGCCCGGGCGUGUUCGUUGACGAGCGCCAGGACGUUGAACCCGGCGAGCUGGGACGCUUGCGUGAGGGCCUGGCGCUCGGCCUGGCCGAAAUAGGGCGGCACGGCGACAACGGCGCCGCGCACGGAAGGCCAACGUGCGCGUCGGCAAUCCCCGAGGCAUAGUGGAGCACCAUGGCGACGGUCUCCUCGACGAUGUGGUUUGUUAUUCAGUUAAUUUGCUUGUCUCACUGGUUAAUAUGGAUAUAGGGAGGGUUAUUUUAUACCUUGGUGGAUCCACGAGAGGAAGUGAAGACAUCAUCGAUGCCGACGAACUGCAGCACCUUCUUGGGGACGCGGGCGGCCACGAUUCCAGACCCCCAGCGGGCUUGGCGUGGAUGAUGGCGCCGCGGAUGGCCGUGGCCGCCUCCUUGGCGCACUUGACGUUGAGGUCGACGUGGCCGUUGCCGUCGCCGCCGCCGACGAAAGUCUUGAAGCGGGUGCGCUGGCCGACGCGCGUCUGCUUCUGCACGGGGGUGAUCUUCAUCACCUCGUCCUUGAGCAGGAGCAGCUGCGGCGGCGAGCCGUGCUCCUCCUGCUGAGGACCGAGAGGGCGGGGAGGAGGAGACGACGCGACGGCGCGGCAGGGAGCGGAGGCUGGUGGCUAGGGUUAGGGUUUGAAGAGGAGAGAGAGAGAAAGAUAGAGGUGAGGUGGGAGGAAGAGGAGAGGGGUGGCGCGGGGUCGUGGNNNNNNNNNNNNNNNNNNNNNNNNNNNNNNNNNNNNNNNNNNNNNNNNNNNNNNNNNNNNNNNNNNNNNNNNNNNNNNNNNNNNNNNNNNNNNNNNNNNNNNNNNNNNNNNNNNNNNNNNNNNNNNNNNNNNNNNNNNNNNNNNNNNNNNNNNNNNNNNNNNNNNNNNNNNNNNNNNNNNNNNNNNNNNNNNNNNNNNNNNNNNNNNNNNNNNNNNNNNNNNNNNNNNNNNNNNNNNNNNNNNNNNNNNNNNNNNNNNNNNNNNNNNNNNNNNNNNNNNNNNGGCGGCGGCGGGGCAGGGAGGGGCGCGGGAGGGAGAGAGAGAGAGAGGCGGGCGCGGGAGGGGGAGAAGGAGGCGAGCGGGCUGGAGGGGGAGGGGAACGACGGUCUCUACGGCCUCGCCCCUGCCUGCGCUAUAGGAUCUUUUCCCAGCCAAGUGAAAUGACAAGAAUGCCCUCGGCGGGGCAGUGUAAUUAUGCGCGGUGGCACGGCCGGGCGGGAAACAGCUCAUAGGGAAAAUAUCGAACGGUUGGAGACGACCGGGUAAAUAUCCGACGGCCCACAACGACCGAGCCCGAGAUCCAACGGCCAGAACGCAAUCAAGAAAACGAUCGGACGGCCGAGAAGCUCUAAUCGCUGAGGAGCCUCCUGCAUCCACUCCUCUCUUAUUUCUGGAUAUAUGACCUUGGCCUUCUCGCAAAAAGAAAGAAAGAAAAGGAAAGGAAUGCAAAUUUCGUUCGAUUCACACACAUGGCUUGGUUUUCUGUUACAGAGACAGGACUGUCCCGACGACGAUAACUGAAUCAUCAGGGUGGAGGAACAAGAACGAAGUCAAGAAUGGCCAGCAGCCUGCAGGUCGCCUAGAGCAGGGACCUUGUCACCUCGUAGGCGAGGAAGCAGGCGCCGUUGGCCGGGACGCUGCGCGCCAUGGCCGGUCCGAACCCCCUGUACAGACCCCUGGCCCCGUCGGCGGCGAGGAUCUUCUUGAACGCGUCCAUGGAGCCCGAGUACUUUGGGUUCUUGAAGUCGUCCACCUGGAGCUUGCUCUUCACCACGUCGGUCGGGUACACGGAUCCCCAGAACGCCGCGCCGGCGACCCCGCCGGCGAGGAUCAGGGAGCCCCUGCCCAGCCCCGACGUGUCCUGCCCGCCGGCAAUGAACUGCUUCGUGGCCUCGUAGACGCCGAACAUGAGCGCGUUGCCGGGGAUCUCGCGCGCCAUUGUGGGGACGAGGCCCUUGAAGAGGCCCCGCACGCCGCCCUCCGACCGCAGCACGUGCCUCGCCACGUCCAGCGGCCCGCCAUACUUCACCGCGGCAGCGGCCGUGGCGGUCACGGUGGCGGCCGCGCCGCCCGCGGGAGCAGCGGCGGCGGCAGGAGCGGCGGUGGCAAGCGCGCUCUGCGCCUGCAGCCUGCACUUGAUGAGCUCGGUGGGGCAGGCGAGGAAGGAGACGGCGACGCCGGCCCCGGCGCCGGCGACGACCUGCUGGCCGACGGUGAGCGCGGCGCCGGGCUCGGAGCGCAGCAGGGCCUCCAUCUGGCCCCUGACGGUGAAGAGCACGGCGUUGAAGGCGGCGACGGUGGCGAGCGGGGCGCCCAUGCCCUUGUACAGGCCCCGGGGGCCCUCGGCCGAGAUGGUCUGCUUGACGGCGUCCAUGGCGCCGGCGAACUUGGGCGGCUGGCCGGGCGGCGGCGUGGGCUGGCUCUGCAGCUUCACCUUGAUGGUGUCGAACGGGUGGCCGACGACCAGCUGCGCCGCGCCGCCCACCGUGCCGGCGGCCAGGUCCUUGGCCACGUCCCCCAUCUGCUCCCACAGCGAUUUGGGUUGGGAUGGAUCCCGGUUAGUUUCGUCGCUGCUUUGCUUUGCUUUGCUGAUUUGUUUAAGUUUGGAGAUAAUAAGACAUGAAAAUCGAGCAUCAACAGCCUGUCAAUGUUCGCAUCCUAUACGGUACGAUACCGUUUGACGGGAUACGAUCCUGUCAAACCACAAAGACCAGUAGCGCCAUCCUGGCAACCUUGCAGCAUCGACACAAAUCUCUAUGCGAAAACCGCUGGCGAGAGCGAAACCACAGAAGCACGACAGUAAACUACUCCGUGUAAGUUUAAAAAAUAAACUUCUCUGUAUCCCCUGUCCCCCAAAAGCUGCUGUCAAACUGUGGCUUUGGCACUUUUAAAUCAAAUUCGGGUGGGCAAUCUCUCCCCUAACGAUCAUUCAAAAAAAAAAUCCGAGAAUAUAUAAACACAGACGCCCAACAAGUUUCAACCCUAUCAUCACAAUCCUGACACAUACGCAGUCAGCACAGCAAUGCAACAUGACAGCCUGUCUCAACUCUCAAGUCUCAACUAGAUCAACAAAGCUUUGGAUUUGUUUGUGCCUCAAGAAGGACAAGGCACAUUCAGCAAGAACUUGAAAAGACCAUCGCAUCCGAUGAAUCUGAAGGCGCGGGCAUUCACAGGAGGAAAUGGAAGAGAAUUACCUUGACUCCGAGGCGAAAUGGAGCUGGACUCAAUCCGCCCUUCCACCCAGAACAAAGAUGAGAAGAGAACACACCACUACCCAGCGGCAAAAAAAUACAGGCCAGGAAGAAGGGAGAGGUGGUUCAGAUGCCAAGCAAGCCCAGAACCACCCACCCACCCCCUCACCAGACGCUGCAACCAAACAAAACCACAAAGGCGCACCCACAUCGCCGUCAGACAAUCGCUCCCUCACCAUUGGAUCGCCGUCGGAUGGCCAAUCCACUCCCAGCCAACCAUUACCACAAGCCAAAUCACCAACUACUACACUUGCUCACUCCAAACGUGACACACGCACAGGACAGGUAAAGCUCAACCUUUAUUUCAUCAACAAUCCCGCCAUUGCUGCCAGUCUAUGCAAGGUUUUCGGAAACAACGUCGCAGUAAAGAAGAAUUGUUUGCCAUGGUCCUCAAUUCUGUCUCAGUUGCUCUGUGUAAUGCCGCAUCGGAGAAGAGACGGAGGCCGCGCUGGGACCUUUGCGGAUCAGCCCAAGGCCGAUCGCGUGAUCUCAUAGGCCACGAAGGUGGCGGCGUUUGCCGGGACACUGCGUGCCAUGGCGGGGCCGAACCCCUUGUACAGGCCCUUCACCCCGUCGGCCGCGACGAUCUUCUUGAGAGCGUCGAUCGACCCCGAGUACCUUGGCUUCUUGUAGUCGUCCACCUGGAUCACGCUCUUCACGACGUCGGUUGGGUACACCGUGAGCCACAGAGCUCCUCCGGCGAGGCCCCCGGCAAGGAUGAGAGAGCCCUGGCCGAGGCCUGACGUGUCCUGACCGCCGGCCAUGUACUGCUUGACGGCCUCGUAGACGCCGAACAUUAUAGCGUUGCCGGGGAUCUCACGGCCCAUUGUUGGGACAAUGCCCUUGAACAGACCUUUGACGCCAGCGUCCCUCAUGACAUGCCUCGCCACAUCCAUUGGCCCUUUGGGUAGCGCCACGCGGGAGACAGCACCUGCUUCAGCUAAAGAGCUCUGGGCCUGCAACCUGCAUACCAGCAAAUAACUCAGCAGCUGUAGUAUGGUAUGUCUUGCACCUCUCUUCAAUAACACAUAUGAAAAUACAAAAAAAAAAAGACUAUAUAUAUUCUUUGGAUGCGCGCCAGUCAAACAAAAUCAAGUGCAGCACUCCAUCACUCCCAAAUGUAGUGUAAGUCAUCAUCUAUCCAAGAUGAGUUUUGCAAAGGUAUAAUCACAACACAAAUAAGGUACAGAGUUUGUUUGUAGUUAAUCGACACCAUAAUUCAGCUUUUUUUAGCUAUGCAGUCUUAUGUCUUAGACCUCUCUUCUUCAAUAACACAUAUGAAAAUACAAAAACGACUAUAUACAUUCUUUGGAUGCGCCCAUUGCCAGCCAAACAAAAUCAAGUGCAGAACUGCAACAGCUCUAUCCAAGAUGAGCUUGCAAAGGGGAUAAUCCAAAUGCUAAUAAGGUACAGAGAUUGUUUGUAGUUGACAGACACAUAAAUCAGUUUCUUUUAGCUAUGCAGUCUUAUUGCAUUUGCCUUAAGAGCACUAGGAAAUGAAUCCUUCAGAGGAUUUUUCAGUGACCCUAGAAUCGACAGAAGCAACGCACUGCAGCAAUGAAUCACAUGGUGGGGGGAAGUCAGAUAAACUGUGAUACAGAGGAAUGCAUACUGUAGACCCAAACGUUAAUUGCCAGGGACUUACUUCCUACUGACUAGAGACACGGUUCAGUUUUUCAGCUAUGCACCAAUGCCUAUAUAUGAAAUUUAACUGAUCAGAGUCAGGUGCUUUCUUUCCAUAACCCUAUACUACCUUUAUCACGAAUUACUUGUCGCAGAAAUGGAUGUAUCUAGAACUAAAAAUACGUCUAGAUACAUUCAUUUCUGCGGCAAGUAAUUCUAGACGGAGGGAGUAGUUCAUUAACCCAUAGUGGCAAUGCGUUGACAUAAUGCAAGAUAAACACGCUGAACUUUGAUACUCCCUCCGUAAACUAAUAUAAGGCGUUUAGAUCACUACUUUAGUAAUCUAAACGCUCUUAUAUUUCUUUACGGAGGGAGUACAAUGGAAUGCAUGGCAAGGAAGUACAUAGCAUGAAUGACAUCUAGUGAAUGCAGAAAAGGGCAACUUCAGAGAAAAAUGAAUAUCAUGACUUUAGCGCAACAUGAAUGACAUCUGGUGUGUGCAGAAAAGGGCAACUUCAGAGAAUGAUGAAUAUCAUGACUAUAUCGUAUAAAUUAUAAUCUCGCCUACAAAACCUCCAAACUUCAUCAAAUGAUGUGGAGAUUAGAUCAGAUGAUGAAAGUACAUUAAAUGAAAAUUGGCACGGUGCAACUUUGGUUACCUGCACUUGAUCAGCUCGGUUGGGCAUGCCAGGAAGGAGACCGCAAGCCCAGCACCAGCACCAGCGACGACCUGCUGCUUUACCGUUAAUGGCGCCCCGGGCUCCGAUCUCAAGAGAGUCUCCAUCUGGCCCCUCACAGUGAACAGGAGAGCGUUGAAGGCUGCAACAGUAGCGAGAGGAGCCCCCAUUCCCUUGUACAAUCCCCUGGGCCCUUCAGCCGCAACCGUUUGCUUGACAGCAUCAAAGGCGCCGGCAUACUUAAGAAGCUGGCCUGGAGCAGGGCUGGGCUGGCUCUGGAGCUUGACCUUGAUGGUGUCAAAUGGGUGCCCAACAACCAGAUUGGCGAUCCCUCCGACGGUUCCGGCUGUCAAGUCCUUGGCAAUGUCCCCCAUCUGCUGAAUACAAUGCAAUCAAAUUACAUGAUCCUGUAUUCAAUCAUGAUUCAUUAUUUUCUUUGCCCCAUGUGAGAAGGAUUUGGGAGCAUAUUUCUUUUUAGGAUAGUUGGUUGAUCACACAUGUAAUGUACUAGGAUACAACAAUGAGUAAAACAUACUGAUAAUAAUUUGAAUGAUGUCAUAGGUUGAUAAGUAAUCAGAGUCAUCGAGCCAUUCUUUUAGUUGAUUGAUCGUCCGAAUCGCAGACAGAUGCAUCAAUUAAUAGCAGAUACGUACUACUCCCUCCGUCCGAAAAUACUUGUCAUCAAAAUGGAUGAAAAGGGAUGUAUCUAGAACUAAUAUACAUCUAGAUACAUCCCAUUUUAUUCAUUUUGAUGAUAAGUAUUUCCGGACGGAGGGAGUACAUCUUUAUUCCUGCAUACGCAGUGAAGUGUUUGUAUAUCUAACUGAAAAACAAAACAAAACAGAGAGGGCUUGCAUCUAUCAGGGCGGGGCACAGUUGGGGUUCGUUCAAUAGAACCCCCAAAAUUUCUCUGAAAAUAAUCUUGCCCCCGAGAACUAAGCCCAGCGUAUAGGAUCAACUCGGACCGAACGCUGCGCGCUCCAGAAGAAGAACGACCUAGCGGAACCAGGGACGCACGGAAGGGUAGCGCGUGGCAUCGGGAACGGAGUGGAUCAGCGGGCCACCGCCGCCGGCAAACGGACCGGCGGCGAAGAGCACGGGGACGACGAGCGAGCGGGGCCACGAUUCCUCAAUGCCACGGCGAGGGAAGAGCGGCAGGAACCGUUGGCAAAUCCGUCCGAUCACGGCGUGGAAAACGAGGAAGGCGGCGUCGCUUACCGCGAGAAGGAGGAGAGAUCACCGCAACCCGGCCUCUCCGUCUCCUCGCCGUCGGAGAGGAGGAGCGAGUGAGGAGUGGCUGGAUUGGAACAAUGGGAUUCGGAAUCGCGGGGCUGCUGCUUUUGGAGUCGGGGUUUAUUCAGUCGAGCUGGGGCAGGCGGGGCCAGGGCACGGAAUUCCGGGUCUGUCUGGCUGGGUUGGUGGCUCCCUCCCAUUUCCUUUCCUUUCUAGUAGCGCUCUGCACGUAUCCCAUCGGCGAUACGAUGCGGUGUGGCGAAAGGAGGGGGGACACGCACGCUGCCGUUACACGGAGAUCAAUCAGUCAAUCAGCCGAGAUCUGAUCCGGGAAGGACGAAAACAGAAGCCACGACGAGGUCGCUCGCUCGCUCGCAGUGCUGCACGUGUUCUCACGACGAUUCUCAUUGGAUAGAUUGGCACAUGGAGACGGUGACAAGCGUGCAUGGGCUGCGGAUUCAGGGAUCGCUCGUGCUGCCACAGGUGCGUAGGUACCUACCCUUUGCGGAGCAGUACUAGCAAAUUGCGGUGCGUACUACGGAAUUUGGGUUUCUCGUACCGCAAUUUUUGCGGUGUUUCAUCAAGUGCCAAACAAUGCAUAAUUCCACGAAGCACGCUCCAAUUGCUACACAAACGCGCGCAGUACGUACCAAAUUUCAGGAUCAAGCUCUGAAAACCACCACGCGAGGCUGCCAGAGAACCGUGCGGCCGGCCGGCCUGACUGCGAAGCUGACAAAAGUGAGGCCGGCCGCAUUGCGGUUGGUGCGAUGGAAAAUGGUGUCCACAUUCGUCGCAUACCAAUUCGAUCCUGACCACUGAGAUGCGAGCUCCUACUGGCCUGGAGACCUAUAUCUCCCCCCCUGACGGCAGAACUGAUCCCCACCCCCCUAGGGUUCGCCACCAUCCCCCCCGUCGCCGCCAUGGCAAUCUAAAUUUAGUCUGGAUUCGGUGUGAUCUGUUCGUCUCUGGUAAUUUCUCGGCUGACGAUUGUUUCCCUGCUGGUCCUUCCGAUCAUCUGUUUGAACCCAAGCAGUUUAGCUUCUCGCGUGAUUUCUGGGCGAGGAAGACUGGCAAAAUUCCUUUCGCUACGAUAGCUAGGAAGAUGGCUGGAUCUGGUCAAAUCAGGCCAAAGGGGGGACGGAGUGGAGGCGGCCGUGGUCGCAAUGAUGUUGCCCGGCCUCCGGUCCCUCCUCCUGCACCUCCUCCAGUGACUGCGCCGCCGCUGCGUGCUUCUGCGCCAAAUCCAAACCCCGCUACCAUUCAGCAAGGACCGCCUCUGUCGAUCUUCGCCAAGCCCCCUAUCAUCCCUAUCGGGUCAAGCUCUGUGAAUAUGAUGCACCCAGCUUUGGGUCAGGUGUACCCUGGUUUUUCUGCUCCCAACUACCAGUACCCUCAAAUGUCCCCUUGGAUGCAACAAACCCAAUUCCAAUUCCCUUACAUGCAGCAGAAUCUUCCUGUCCAGUUUCAACAACCUCAACAGCCUGUCAGUACUGGGAGUGCUUCUGGAGGGAGUAGUCAGGUGGGAACUGGAAAAAACAAGAAGAAGAACAGAACAGGUGCAAAAAAACAAGCUAAUUCUGCUGCCACUGGGACCAUGGAUGGUGUUGUUGGACAAGGUGGUACAGAUGUUGAGGAAUUUAUGGUAGAUCCUAAGUACAUUGGCACAAUUUGCUACAACUAUGGCCUCCCUGGCCACUUUGUUGGCAUGUGCUCUGUCACAAAAGUCUGUUUUAUCUGCAAAACACCAGGCCACCACAUGGAUGCUUGCCCCAAGUGGUAUGAUCCAUACCCAGCUGCUCAAUACUGGGGGAGUGCCGACACUGGUCUAGGAUUUUUCCACAUUGAAGCUGGAGACAAGAGUGAUAGUAACUGGCUCAAUUUUGGUAAUGUUGGUCUGGUUGUUGUGGAAGAAGGUAAUAUUACUGCUGGUGAAUGGAGAGUUGUUUUGCUAGCAUGUGGAAAACUAACUGGCCUUGGCAGAUCAGAGCGUAUGAUGAUACUCAAUUCUUGGUCAGGUUUCCCCCUAAUAAAAAGAUUGUUGACCUAGUUGCUUUUAAAUCCAUCAAUCUGAAAAAAGCUGGUGUUACUAUCUCCUUCAAAGAUUGGCAUGGUGAACUUCCUCCUUUUGACUCUCUUAAAGAAGUUUGGGUUAGUAUUAUUGGCAUCCCUCCUGUUUGGUGCUCUUGGCCAGUGAUUGCCCAAAUUGCUUCCUCUCUGGGUGUCAUUGUCAAUGUUGAUUGGCAUGAGAUCUUCAGGAGUUUCUAUGAGGUUGUCAAAAUUCAAGUGGCAGUGAGGAAUCCUCUUCAGAUCCCUAAAGAUAGACUGGUUGAGAUCCAUCAGGAGUUAUAUCUACUCAAUUUUGAGGUUGAUGAUGAUGUUACUGCUGAUUCUCCCUCUCACAGCCACCCAAAGGGCCCCCCUGGUCCCCCUAGUGGGAACAAUGGAGACAAGAAUGCUGACAGGAACAGUGAAGGGGAUAAGGAUAGCGAUGAUGAUCUGCUGGGAGAAGAAAUGGAGCAGGAUGCCAACAAUCAGCUUACUAGGAAUGCCACUUCUGCUCCCAGUGGAUCUAAGACUAGGGUCAGCUACUCGCUCCCUUGCACUCUUGUUGAGCGUUCCCCCCUGGGCUUUUCUGCUAUGUCUAACUGCCAGGUGGCUCCUGUCACCAAAAGCUAUGUUGAUGCUGUUAAGAAAACCAAACUAGUGGACUGUGGCAACAGUCUGUUGGUGCAGUUCAACUCUAUGAGUAAUGUCACUACCAACAUUGGUGUCAACACUAUGCCGCCGCCUGCUACUACAUUCUCUUGCCCAGCUCCCCAGCCUCUGGCCAAUAGGCCUGACAAAGGGAAGUGGGGCCCUGUGGUUGCCACUAGGAUGAGCAACAAGAUAAAGAGAGAUGGUAAAAAUGCUAUAGCUAAGGCUCAAGAUAUUAAAAAAGUGCAAAACCUGGAAGUUCCCAGAGGUAGCACUGCAGCCUUUUCUAUUAAUUCAUUUGCUUGCUUAGAUAAUGAUUUGCUCUUACAUAAUGCUAAUUUGUCUGGUUUAAAACUUGGGAAUGAUCCUAGUAGUUGCAAUAAUAACAUUGAAUUCAUUAAGAAAUUUGAGCUUGAUAGGUUGUCUAAAUUCCAUAAAGAUAACCCUGACAUGUUUCUUCCUCCUGGCACUGAUGCUGAUGGUGAGGUUUCUGUUAGUAAUUUUAUUGACACUGAGAAGCAUCCUUCCCCUAGCACUGAAAAAAUUUCAGAUAAGGAAGAAGGUGAGCUCCCUUGGGUGGAAGUAUCUCACCAAAGGAACAAAAAAGUGUCAACUAGAAAAAGAUAUAAUAAUUAUAAUCAUUUCCCAUGAUUGGUGCCUUCUGGAAUAUCAGAGGCCUAAAUGGCUCUAUUAAGUGUUCUAGAGUGCAAGAGCUUAUAAAAGCUUGUAGCCCUGACUUUAUUUGUUUAUCUGAGACAAAAAAAGCCAAUUUCACCAUACCAAAGCUAGAGGCCAUAGACUCUAGAAAUGGUUUUGUGUGGAAUUGGCUACCUGCUUCAGGUACUGCAGGUGGUAUCCUAGUAGGUGUUAAAGAGGAUUCUUUUGACAUCCUCCAGUGUGAGAUAGGAACCUUUUGUAUUUCUUGUAUUUUGAAAUUUAAGCAUAAUAAUACCAGAUGGAGAUUGAUAUCUGUGUAUGGUUCUGCUUAUGAUGAGUUCAAGAUUGAUUUUCUCAAUGAGCUUCACAGUGUCCUUGCCGGUUGGUCAGGACCUACUCUUGUAGGGGGUGAUUUCAACCUGGUAAGGGAUUCUAGUGAAAAAAUACUGGUAAUAUUAACCAGCAUUGGGCUGAUCUGUUUAAUGAUUGGAUUAACAACUUUGGCCUAAUUGAGAUCAAAAAUGCAGGGAGGAGCUAUACUUGGGCAAAUAAUCAAGAUAACUUGAUUAUGGCCACCCUAGACAGAGUGUUUGUUUCUGUAGAUUGGGAUAGUAUCUUUCCUGGGGCCUCCUUAAAAGCCCUACCCAGAGUGGGGAGUGAUCAUACACCUCUGGUUUUAAAUACCACCUCUGGGCCCCCGAAUGCUACUUCUAAAUUCUUUAGAUUUGAAAAAUGGUGGCUGAAUAUUCCUGGGUUUGAUGAUGUUAUUCAUAAAGCCUGGAACACCAAGUGCAAAGCCACCAAAGCCAUUGAUGUCUGGAAAUUUAAGAUUAGGGCCACCAGGAAAGUUGCGAAAGGCUGGUGUGCUAAUUAUGAAGCUGACCAUAACAGGAAAAAGCAGGCCUUGGUGGCUGAAUACAAUUGCCUAGAUAUACUUGCUGAAUCUCAACCUUUGUCUCCUAACUCUAAGAAUAAUAUGAAAAAAAUUGCAGGCGAGCUGAAUGAAAUUUGGAGAAAAGAGGAGAUCAAAGCAAGAUAGAGAUCCAGAGAGAAGGAGAUCUUGGAGGGGGGGUAUAACACUGGUUAUUUCAAAGCUGUGGCUAAUCAGAAGAGGAGGAAGAAG
rnacentral:lncRNA from 1 species